UAAGGAAUAUUGGGCAAUGGACGCAAGUCUGACCCAGCCAUGCCGCGUGCAGGAUGACGGCCCUAUGGGUUGUAAACUGCUUUUGUACGGGAAGAACCCCUUCGAUUCUUCGGAGGCUGACGGUACUGUACGAAUAAGCAUCGGCUAACUCCGUGCCAGCAGCCGCGGUAAUACGGAGGAUGCAAGCGUUAUCCGGAUUUAUUGGGUUUAAAGGGUGCGCAGGCGGAAUGGUAAGUCAGUGGUGAAAUCUCCCGGCUCAACCGGGAUACUGUCUUUGAUAUUGACGCUCUAGAGUGCAGUUGGUGUGGGGGGAAUGUGUCAUGUAGCGGUGUGACGCUUAGAUAUGACACAGAACACCGAUCGCGCAGGCAGCUCACCCAGUUGUAACUGACGCUCAUGCACG
rnacentral:rRNA from 1 species